rnacentral:rRNA from 1 species
AUUGAACGCUGGCGGCAGGCCUAACACAUGCAAGUCGAACGAGUGGCGGACGGGUGAGUAAUGUCUGGGAAACUGCCCGAUGGAGGGGGAUAACUACUGGAAACGGUAGCUAAUACCGCAUACCAUCGGAUGUGCCCAGAUGGGAUUAGCUAGUAGGUGGGGUAACGGCUCACCUAGGCGACGAUCCCUAGCUGGUCUGAGAGGCUGACCAGCCACACUGUAACUGAACCACGGUCGCGGCUCCUACGGUAGGCUGCAAUGGGGAAAAUUCGACAAUGGGGGCAAACCUGAUUCAGCCAUGCCGCUUGUAAGAAGAAGGCCUUCGGGUUGUAAAGGACUUUCAGCGAGGAGGCAUUACUCGCAGAAGAAGCACCGGCUAACUCCGUGCCAGCAGCCGCGGUAAUAC